ACGCACGCUGGCGGCGUGCCUAAUACAUGCAAGUAGCACGCUGAAGGAAGGAGCUUGCUCUUUCUGGAUGAGUUGCGAACGGGUGAGUAACGCGUAGGUAACCUGCCUGGUAGCGGGGGAUAACUAUUGGAAACGAUAGCUAAUACCGCAUAAAAUUGAUUAUUGCAUGAUAGUCAAUUAAAAGGUGCAACUGCACCACUACCAGAUGGACCUGCGUUGUAUUAGCUAGUUGGUGGGGUAACGGCUCACCAAGGCGACGAUACAUAGCCGACCUGAGAGGGUGAUCGGCCACACUGGGACUGAGACACGGCCCAGACUCCUACGGGAGGCAGCAGUAGGGAAUCUUCGGCAAUGGACGGAAGUCUGACCGAGCAACGCCGCGUGAGUGAAGAAGGUUUUCGGAUCGUAAAGCUCUGUUGUAAGAGAAGAACGAGUGUGAGAGUGGAAAGUUCACACUGUGACGGUAUCUUACCAGAAAGGGACGGCUAACUACGUG
rnacentral:rRNA from 1 species